rnacentral:rRNA from 1 species
UACGUAGGGGGCAAGCGUUGUCCGGAUUCAUUGGGCGUAAAGAGCGUGUAGGCGGCCAGGUAGGUCGGUUGUGAAAACUGGAGGCUCAACCUUCAGAGGUCGACCGAAACCAUCUGGCUAGAGUCCGGGAGAGGAGAGUGGAAUUCCUGGUGUAGCGGUGAAAUGCGCAGAUAUCAGGAAGAACACCCGUGGCGAAAGCGGCUCCCUGGAACGGUACUGACGCUGAGGAGCGAAAGUGUGGGGAGCGAACAGG